rnacentral:lncRNA from 1 species
UUCGGUUAAAAAUGCAAUUCUGCCUCUGAUAACAUUUUUCCGAUAAUUUUAGUUGACAAAUUAAUUUUUUUGUCUGUUAUUUCUGAAGGUUUCGUGUGAGGUCGUUACUGUUUUGUUGAAACACGACGAUUUAUUUUUUUUUAAUGUGCUAUAGACAUAUAAUCAAAUUUAUACUUCGUAAACUACAUGGUUGACGAAUUGCAGCAUUAGGAAAGCUGGUCAAAAAUAGAUGACCAGGUAAUUGCUGGGCAUAGCUCGGUUGAAUUUCAUAACGCAUACCUAAUAAAAAACCUUGUCAGGAAAAACUGAUCCAUUUGAAUCUGAAAAAUUGCAAGGUUCUAGUCGUCGGACCGAAAUUCAAGGCGGUAAAUAAUGGGGGUGGAUGUUGUUAUCUCCGGAGCCGCUGGAACAUUUCCACAAUGUAAGAGCAUUCCUGAGCUGGAGAAUGCUCUAUUCAAAAAGCGCAUCUCAUCACCGACGAUGAACAAAUAUGGGAAAAAAGACUUGGAUCUACCGGGCAUUGUGGGAAAGCCAUUUGUGAAAAAAAAUUCGAUGCGUUAUUCUUCAAAAUCCCUUGCAGUUUACCCGCAACUAUGGACCCAGUAACAAAGAAAGCCUUGGAAACGAGUAUUGAAGCUAUCAUUGAUGCUGGAGUGAAUCCAAAGUCAUUAGCAGGCACGCAAACUGCCGUUUACUGCUUGUAUGACUUCAGCGAGUUCGAGAUGAGCAUAUCCAAAGCACAAUCUCAGAGAGCAAUACUUGGCAUCGGCCGGUGCUUCUCGGCGAAUAGACUCUCAUUCGCUUUGGAUCUGCAAGGUUAGUCGCAAAUCUGGUUUGCAAGUUAGUAUUUGCCCAUAUGCCGUUUGC